rnacentral:rRNA from 1 species
CAAGUCGACUUGCUUUUGAUUAGCAAUAGUCAAAAGAGAGUGGCGCACGGGUGAGUAACACGUAGAUAAUCUACCCUCAGGACUGACAUAAUGUAGAGAAAUCUGCACUAAUAUCAGAUGAAACAAAAUCCUGGCAUCAGAGAUUUUGUCAAAGUUUUAACGCCUGAAGAUGAGUCUGCGGUCCAUUAGGUAGUUGGCGGUUUAACAGACCACCAAGCCGACGAUGGAUAGCUGGUCUGAGAGGAUGAUCAGCCACACUGGAACUGAGACACGGUCCAGACUCCUACGGGAGGCAGCAGUAAGGAAUAUUGCUCAACGGGAGAAAUCCUGAAGCAGCAACGCCGCGUGGAGGAUGAAGGGCUUUCAGCUUGUAAACUCCUGUAAAGAAGGAAAAAAUUCCCAUUAGAUGGGAGAUGAUGGUACUUCUAAAGUAAGCCCCGGCUAACUACGUG